rnacentral:lncRNA from 1 species
CUCCUCUUCCUCGUCUCACCUCAAACCAUCCUCCCCUCCUCUCCCCCACUCCUCCUCCUCCUUCCCUCCUCUUCCUCAUCUUACCUCAAACCAUCCUUCCCUUCGCUUCCCUCCUCUCCCCCACUCCCCCUUCCAUUCCUCCUCUUCCUCGUCUCACCUCAAACCAUCCUCCCCUCCUCUUCCCCACUCCUCCUUCCAUUCCUCCUCUUCCUCGUCUCACCUCAAACCAUCCUUCCCUCUUCUCCCCCACCCCUCCUCCAUUCCUCCUCUUCCUCGUCUCACCUCAAACUGUCCUUCCUUCCUCUACCCCACUCCCCCUUCCAUUCUUACUCUUCCUCGUCUCACCUCAAAACAUCCUUCCCUCCUCUCCCCCACCCCUCCUCCUUCCCUCCUCUUCCUCGUCUCACCUCAAACCAUCCUCCCCUCCUCUCCCCCACCCCUUUCCAUUCCUCCUCUUCCUCAUCUCACCUCAAACCAUCCUUCCCUCCUCUCCCCCACUCCUCCUACAUUCCUCUUCAACCCCCACUCCCCCCCGGGUAUUCCAAAAGGCACCCUAUUUCUUGUGUAGUGCACUAUUUUAACCAGGGCAUCAUAAGGCUGUGGUAUAGUGCACUAUAGUAUAGUGCACUGAAAUGGUACCCUGUUCUAUAUAUAGUGCACUACUUUGGUACCCUGUUCUAUAUAUAGUGCACUACUUUGGUACCCUGUUCUAUAUAUAGUGCACUACUUUGGCACCCUAUUCUACAUAUAGUGCACUACUUUGACACCCUAUUCUAUAUAUAGUGCACUACUUUGACACCCUGUUCUAUAUAUAGUGCACUACUUUGACACCCUAUUCUAUAUAUAGUGCACUACUUUGGUACCCUAUUCUAUAUAUAGUGCACUACUUUGGCACCCUAUUCUACAUAUAGUGCACUACUUUGGCACCCUAUUCUAUAUAUAGUGCACUACUUUGGUACCCUGUCCUAUAUACAGAGCAUUACUUUAGCACCCUAUUCUAUAUAUAGAGCACUACUUUGGUACCCUGUUCUAUAUAUAGUGCACUACUUUGACACCCUAUUCUAUAUGUAAUGCACUACUCUGACACCCUAUUGUAUAUAUAGUGCACUACUUUGGCACCCUAUUCUAUAUAUAGUGCACUACUUUGGCACCCUAUUCUAUAUAUAGUGCACUACUUUGGUACCCUAUUCUAUAUAUAGUGCACUACUUAGGCACCCUAUUCUAUAUAUAGUGCACUAUUUUUUACCAGGACCUAUAGGGCAGUAUAUAGGAACUGGGCUCUAGUCCAAACUAGUGCACUAUUAGGGGAUAGGGUACCAUUUGGGAAGCCUGCAUAGUGUGAUAAUAACAAACACAGAACACUGCCAUCAUCACCAUCCAGCCAGCCCCGGCCAGCCCCGGCCAAUCCUGACCACUCGCGGCUAACCCCG